GCCAGCGUAGCUCAGUGGUAGAGCGGCGCUUUCGUAAAGCGCGGGUCGGGGGUUCGAAUCCCUUCGCUGGCU
rnacentral:tRNA from 1 species